AUUCCAGCUCCAAUAGCGUAUAUUAAAGUUGUUGCAGUUAAAAAGCUCGUAGUUGGAUUUCUGGGCCGGAGAGCUGGUCUCGCCCGCAAGGGCGCUGCACCGUGCUCUGCCGGCUCAUCCUCGGGUGGGUCCGUCCUGGCAUUAGGUUGUUGGUUCGGGGAAGCCCGUCUUUUACUGUGAAAAAAUUAGAGUGUUCAAAGCAGGCUUAAGCCGUUGGAUACAUUAGCAUGGAAUGAUGAGAUAGGACCGUGGUGUUUUAUUUUGUUGGUUUGCACGCCAAGGUAAUGAUCAAUAGGGACAGUUGGGGGUAUUCGUAUUCAAUUGUCAGAGGUGAAAUUCUUGGAUUUAUGGAAGACGAACUACUGCGAAAGCAUUUACCAAGGAUGUUUUCAUUG
rnacentral:rRNA from 1 species